UCCGAACAAAUCCCCUGCUAUUGUGCAAAGUGCUAAAACAACGCUUCACUCAGCUGUUCAAACAGGUAGCAUGGAAACACUGGAGCUGUGUUGAAGUUGAUCAGGCAGCAGACAUCCUCUGAACAAACAGCACCGAGGUCCAGACCCUCAGUGGGACACAUGAGAGAAGACGACACAGCAGACGCUCUGCAGUGAAAUGCUUGUGGAUGGUUAACGAGGCUUUAACCUCUGCACUGUGGGAGGGAAGCAGUGCAGAAACACAGCACAGACCUCUGAGUGGACUGUAAUCACAAGCUUACAUGAGACAAUGAAGGGCAGUGGACCAGCGUCCAGUGUGAUGAGUUGGACGCGCUGGGAACUUUCACCAGUUUGGAGAGACGACAAACAAAUGAUUGCAGCAUUUGCUGUUUCAGAUGUCACCUCUUCCUGUGUGUGUACUUAGCCUUCUGCCUCGUGAAGCUUCCAAAAGCCUCUGAGCCCAGCAGAAGCUUGGGAAACGGAGGGUGCGAGUGGAAACGCUGCCGCGUACUCCUGUCACUCAGCACUCCAGGGAACAGCCUGAGCCAGGCCGAGCCAGGCCGAGCCAGGCCGAGCAAGCCGGACCAGGGCCAGAGCCCUGCAGUGAUAGAAGAUACUGUCAGAACAUCCUGAAAACCUCUGUCACCGAGGACAUCUGUGUCCUUAUCUGUGUCCACACUAACACACGGUCAUGUGUUUGUCAGUGUAAACAGGAAGCAGAUUCUCUCCUCUGCAGUUCUUUGACAAUAUUACCAAAGAGAAACAACAAUGGUGAACAAUAACGACACCGAUGUCGAGCUGAAAUCGAAAGCAAGAGUUUUUCCUUCAUGGCUGAUUUUGUCGUCAAUAAAAAAAGAAAAACAA